AGCCACAGCCAUAUCACCCUGCAGCCCAACACUGGUUGCCCACUGAAGCUAAGCAGGUUUGAGCCUGGUCAGUAGCUGGAUGGGAGACCUCGUGGGAAAACUAGGUUGCUGUUGGAA
rnacentral:rRNA from 1 species